rnacentral:rRNA from 1 species
ACUUAAAUUGAAGAGUUUGAUCAUGGCUCAGAUUGAACGCUGGCGGCAGGCCUAACACAUGCAAGUCGAGCGGUAGCACAGAGAGCUUGCUCUCGGGUGACGAGCGGCGGACGGGUGAGUAAUGUCUGGGAAACUGCCUGAUGGAGGGGGAUAACUACUGGAAACGGUAGCUAAUACCGCAUAACGUCGCAAGACCAAAGUGGGGGACCUUCGGGCCUCAUGCCAUCAGAUGUGCCCAGAUGGGAUUAGCUGGUAGGUGGGGUAACGGCUCACCUAGGCGACGAUCCCUAGCUGGUCUGAGAGGAUGACCAGCCACACUGGAACUGAGACACGGUCCAGACUCCUACGGGAGGCAGCAGUGGGGAAUAUUGCACAAUGGGCGCAAGCCUGAUGCAGCCAUGCCGCGUGUGUGAAGAAGGCCUUCGGGUUGUAAAGCACUUUCAGCGGGGAGGAAGGCGAUAAGGUUAAUAACCUUGUCGAUUGACGUUACCCGCAGAAGAAGCACCGGCUAACUCCGUGCCAGCAGCCGCGGUAAUACGGAGGGUGCAAGCGUUAAUCGGAAUUACUGGGCGUAAAGCGCACGCAGGCGGUCUGUCAAGUCGGAUGUGAAAUCCCCGGGCUCAACCUGGGAACUGCAUUCGAAACUGGCAGGCUAGAGUCUUGUAGAGGGGGGUAGAAUUCCAGGUGUAGCGGUGAAAUGCGUAGAGAUCUGGAGGAAUACCGGUGGCGAAGGCGGCCCCCUGGACAAAGACUGACGCUCAGGUGCGAAAGCGUGGGGAGCAAACAGGAUUAGAUACCCUGGUAGUCCACGCUGUAAACGAUGUCGAUUUGGAGGUUGUGCCCUUGAGGCGUGGCUUCCGGAGCUAACGCGUUAAAUCGACCGCCUGGGGAGUACGGCCGCAAGGUUAAAACUCAAAUGAAUUGACGGGGGCCCGCACAAGCGGUGGAGCAUGUGGUUUAAUUCGAUGCAACGCGAAGAACCUUACCUGGUCUUGACAUCCACAGAACUUUCCAGAGAUGGAUUGGUGCCUUCGGGAACUGUGAGACAGGUGCUGCAUGGCUGUCGUCAGCUCGUGUUGUGAAAUGUUGGGUUAAGUCCCGCAACGAGCGCAACCCUUAUCCUUUGUUGCCAGCGGUUAGGCCGGGAACUCAAAGGAGACUGCCAGUGAUAAACUGGAGGAAGGUGGGGAUGACGUCAAGUCAUCAUGGCCCUUACGACCAGGGCUACACACGUGCUACAAUGGCAUAUACAAAGAGAAAGCGACCUCGCGAGAGCAAGCGGACCUCAUAAAGUAUGUCGUAGUCCGGAUUGGAGUCUGCAACUCGACUCCAUGAAGUCGGAAUCGCUAGUAAUCGUAGAUCAGAAUGCUACGGUGAAUACGUUCCCGGGCCUUGUACACACCGCCCGUCACACCAUGGGAGUGGGUUGCAAAAGAAGUAGGUAGCUUUAACCUUCGGGAGGGCGCUUACCACUUUGUGAUUCAUGACUGGGGUGAAGUCGUAACAAGGUAACCGUAGGGGAACCUGCGGUUGGAUCACCUCCUUACCUUAAAGAA